CCCCUAGAUGUUCUGGGCCGCACGCGCGCUACACUGAACAGUUCAACAAGUCUUAACCUUGGCCGAUAGGUCUGGGUAAUCUUUGAACGCUGUUCGUGAUUGGGAUAGACCUUUGCAAUUAUGGGUCUUCAACGAGGAAUUCCUAGUAAACGCAAGUCAUCAGCUUGCAUUGAUUACGUCCCUGCCCUUUGUACACACCGCCCGUCGCACCUACCGAUUGAAUGGUCCGGUGAAAUCUCGGGACGGCGGCUUGGUCGCUUGCGUCCGACUGCUGAAACUUGAUUAAAUCAUAUCAUUUAGAGGAAGGUGAAGUCGUAACA
rnacentral:rRNA from 1 species